CCCUUAGAUGUCCUGGGCCGCACGCGCGCUACACUGAUGCAUGCAACGAGUUUAUAACCUUGGCCUGAAAGGUCUGGGUAAUCUUUUGAACGUGCAUCGUGAUAGGGAUAGAUUAUUGCAAUUGUUAAUCUUGAACGAGGAAUUCCUAGUAAACGCGAGUCAUCAGCUCGCAUUGAUUACGUCCCUGCCCUUUGUACACACCGCCCGUCGCACCUACCGAUUGAAUGGUUCGGUGAAGAUCUCGGACUUCGAUAUUUAUUCUUUAUUGAGUUUAUAUUGUGGGAAGUUAUCUAAACCUCAUCAUUUAGAGGAGGGUGAAGUCGUAACA
rnacentral:rRNA from 1 species